UCUCGGCAAAUUAUCCUCAUAAGUUUGACGAUAAGAGAAGCCAUAUAAUAUUAAAUUAGCCUUAAUUUAAUUAAUUCUCUGGUAUAAUAAAAAAGGAGGCCACGACUGUUUACUAAAAACACAAUUCAGAGCAAUAAUUAAGAUAAUAGUAUUCUGAAUGAAAUUUGCUCAAUGCCAUUAAUAUAAGUGAGGUAAUUUUAAAGUUACUAAUCGAAGGUCUGGUUAAUAGCGGUCUUAACUAUGAGGAUCCUAAGGUAGCAAAAUAAGUUGGCCAUUAAAUGUGGUCUUGUAUCAAUAAUGUAACGAUGGUCUCACUGUCUCUACAACUUGCUCAGUGAAAUUGAAUUGCGAGUGCAGAUGCUCGCUGUCUUCAGGGGGACGGGAAGACCCUAUGC
rnacentral:rRNA from 1 species